UUUCUACUCCCUCCGUCCGGAAUUACUUGUCACCAAAAUGGAUGUAUCUAGAACUAAAAUACGUCUAGAUAAAUCCAUUUCUAUGACAAGUAAUUCCGGACGGAGGGAGUAUUAG
rnacentral:pre_miRNA from 1 species